GGCAGAACUCUGAGGAAUAGCAACAUGGUUAAAAUAAGAGAGCCUAUGAAUAAGAAGGAAGCAGCUGUCAGGGACGUAGAAGCAGAACCAAGAGAAUAUAGUGGGAAAGAUCAUUAAAGAGGUUGGGGGCCCAUGCUGCUGGAGGCUUUAGUAAUAUAGACAUGGAAAAACUUCCAUUCACUUCUCAAUUCACUUCUUCUUCCAUUCACUCUCAAAGUCAUUGGUAGGCCCAUCAAAAAUAACUCCCCAAAACAUGGACCAGUAGAAAGGGGCAGAAGCCACGGGGCAUUAGUCUUAGGAACAAACGGGAGAUGGCCAAGUGGGGGAGAGAGUGAAGACAGUCUAGAAGGGGUUAUGGAAGAACACCACCCCACCCCCAAGGAGAGCAGCAGAGGAUCAGGAACCCAUGCGAGAAGCUCCCCGCUAUUACACUCCCGACCCAAAUAACCAAGAUGCCAACAAGCAAAUACGAGUCUCGGAAAAUCUUCCAUCAUCAACACACAAUUUCCUUCAGCUUCUCCUUGGUUUGUAUGACAAAGAAAAAUUGCAUCACUGCUGAUUCAUGUGGACCCUGGAUAGAAAGGAGAGAGAAGUGGCAGCAGGGGCAUUCAUAUUUUAUUAGAAGUUACUGUUAUCUGGUGAAAUGGGAGCGCCAUCACAGCACUCCAUCUAACUCCUUGGCCUCAGGAGGACACAGCAAGAAGGCAUCCAUCUGUAAGCCAGGAAGAGAGCUCUCAACAAAACCCAACCAUGCUGGCACCCUGAUCUCGGAUUUACACCCUCCAGAACUGUAGGAAAGUAAAUUUCCAUUCCUUGAGCUAGCCAAUUUAUGGUAUUUUGUUCUGACAGCUCAAGAAGACUAAUGCAGUACAUACCCAUAUAUGUGUGUAUAUAUGUAUUUAUUACCCUUACUUAUAUUGUUUCCCUUACUUCUGUUAUUCUGUAUCCAUAUUACCCUCCUACAUUUUCCUUCAUAGCAACAUCCCCACUAUAUACACUAUGAGCUCUACUUAGUGAUUUCCUUGUUGUCUCUUCUCCCCAAGUAGAAUGCAAACUGCAUGAGAGUCAGGUCAUUAUCUUGUUCAUUGCUGUAUCCUCAAUGGUUAGAAUAGCAAUGCCCGACACAAACCAGGCAUUCAGUCAACACUCGCCAAGUGAAUAAAUCACUAGAAAAUAAGCUCCUGUACUGAGCACAGUGCUUGGCACAUAGAACACCUUGAUUCAUGUUUGCUGAGCUGAAAUGAACUGAACUGAGCUUAACACGCAUCAGUUGAGAAGGUGGCAUGCAAGACAAUACAAAAAAGCCAGGGUGAGAAGCUUUAGUUCAAGCCAUCACGGCUUUGCAGUAAAUAUCAUUGGAAACAACACUAAAACUUUUAGACCUUGGAGCUGAUCUGACCAUGUAAGCACAGUAAUGGACCCUGCCUCACCAUAGCCCCAUCCAAAGGCAUAUGUAUAAGGAAAAAAGCCAGUUUAUACAUAGGGUGUCAGUUACAUGUCAAGCACAUAAAAUGAAAUGCUGCUAUAGAUCUCAUGGAUAGAAAAGAUUAAACACAAAUAACAAGACCAAUAUUUCUGGUCCAAAAUGGUGAACAAGCCAGGAUGUUUAAUUGCCCACCCCCCAAAUCCCCCUUAAAUCUCACACACACACACACACACACACACACACACGUGAAAGUUCUAUAUUAUGGCUGAAAACUAGCAAAGAGUGACUAUCAUAAACCUAAAAUAUAGAUAUUUUGGAAAAAUUAACUGCAAACAAGGAAAAGAGCUACAAUCAGCCAGAUAUUUAUCUCAUGUGCUAUAGGAAUCCAGAUAAGAAUAAAUGAUUAUCAGGAGCAAAUUUUAAGAAAAAAUAAAUGGAAUCCCACAACUGGAAGGACCUGCAACUAAGAUAUACAACUAUGUACCGGGAGGGGUUUGGAAAAUAAAGCAG
ensembl:lncRNA